GGAUGUGGAUUUGGAAUAUGCCCGUGCCACUACAAGGCUGAAUAUUGAGUUGUGGUGAUCAUCUAGAAUGUGUGAGAUGCCUCCAAGUGAAGUCUGGUUCUAAUGAGCAGGGUGCAGGUUGGACCAAUAUUGCCCAUUUUCUGUUGAGUUUCUCCAGGCCCAGUGGUGUGGGAGCCAACAUUAAGAGACUGACAUUUGAGCUAAGGAUCCUAUUGACUGAAAUAUGCCAAAGGGAUCUGAAAGGCCAAAACUGCCUUCAGAGCUCGGCCUUUGUUGUUAGCUCUCUGGCAGUUGUCAUUUCAGCAAAAUGCAUCCACUUAGAAAGGUCAGCUCUUCAUUAGGCAGACAAAUGAGAACAAUAUAUUGACCAAAGAUAAGGAGUUGGGAGCCCAGAUCUCAGCCUCUGAGAGCCUGGCAUUUCCACUUCUUUAAUCAUGCGAGCCGGUGAGCAUAUGCUGUCUCAGAGAAAGCAGAUCAAUGGUGCCUGAGGACCUGGUGUCACCAAGCUAGGGCUUAGAGACGGAAAUGAGAUGCAGAUGGGGAUGUUGUGUGAAUUGGGGAAUAAUAGAGAAGGGAGGAGGAGACAGGGAGUUCAAUGAUGCUUUUUAAAACCCGCAGCAUAUGAGAAAUUGUAAUGACACAAAGGUGAAGAAGUAUGUAUUGCAUAUAAUCCUAGCAAGUUUCCUACCAUUCCCAACAGAAUCUGGCCUCACUGUAGCUCCAACUCACAGAUCCUAUAGGUAAUGCCAAAUGGUACCUGAGAUGCCUUUUGAAAUGGCAUCAAGAAAGACUGGGCUCUGAAAUCUUUGAGAGCCACCUGUCAGUUAUUGUAAAGGUUUGGAUGGCUGUGUGACAACCUCCUACAACAAGCUGAUGUUUGGGCGGGGGACAAGCUUAUCAGUCAUUCCAAAUAUCCAGAACCCUGACCCUGCCGUGUACCAGCUGAGAGGCUCGAAAUCCAAUGACACCUCUGUCUGCCUAUUCACUGAUUUUGAUUCUGUAAUGAAUGUGUCACAAAGCAAGGAUUCUGACGUGCAUAUCACAGACAAAACUGUGCUAGACAUGAGGUCUAUGGACUUUAAGAGCAACGGUGCUGUGGCCUGGAGCAACAAAUCCGAUUUUGCAUGUACAAGCGCCUUCAAGGACAGCGUUAUUCCAGCAGACACCUUCUUCCCCGGCACAGAAAGUGUCUGUGAUGCCAACCUGGUUGAGAAAAGCUUUGAAACAGAUAUGAACCUUAACUUUCAAAACCUGUCAGUGAUUGGGUUCCGAAUCCUCCUCCUGAAAGUGGCCGGGUUUAAUCUGCUCAUGACACUGCGGCUGUGGUCCAGCUGAGGUCUGCAGGAUUGUAAGACAGCCUGUGCUCCCUCGUUCCUUCCUCUGCAUCGCCCCUCCCCUCCCUCUCCAAGCAGAGGGAGCUCUCCCACCCCCAUGGAGGAGAAAGCUGCUACCACCUCUGUGCCCCCCGGCAAUGCCACCAACUGGAUUCUACCCAAAUUUGUGAUUAAGAUUGCCGAAGAGCUGCCAAACACCGCUGCCACCCCCUCUGUUCCCUUAUGGCUGCUUGUCACUGCCUGACAUUCACGGCAGAGGCAAGGCUGCUGCAGCCGCCCCUGGCUGUGCACAUUCCCUCCCGCUCCCCAGAGACUGCCUCCACCACCCCACAGAUGAUGGAUCCUCAGUGAGUUCUCUUGGGCUCUAGGUCCUGGAGAAUGUUGUGAGGGGUUUAUAUUUUUUAAAUAGUGUUCAUAAAGAAAUACAUACUAUUCUUCUUCUCAAGACAUGGGGGGAAAUUAUCUCAUUAUCGAGGCCCUGCUAUGCUGUGUAUCUGGGUGUGUUGUAUAUCCUGCUGCCAAUGGCUUCAUUAAAAUGGUUUGGAAGAGCAGA